rnacentral:rRNA from 1 species
UACGUAGGGUGCGAGCGUUAAUCGGAAUUACUGGGCGUAAAGCGUGCGCAGGCGGUUCGUUAAGUCAGCUGUGAAAGCCCCGGGCUCAACCUGGGAACGGCGGUUGAAACUGGCGAACUAGAAUCUGGCAGAGGGGGGUGGAAUUCCACGUGUAGCAGUGAAAUGCGUAGAGAUGUGGAGGAACACCGAUGGCGAAGGCAGCCCCCUGGGCUGAGAUGACGCUCAGGCACGAAGCGUGGGGAGCAAACAGG